AACGAACGCUGGCGGCAUGCCUAACACAUGCAAGUCGAACGAACCCUUCGGGGUUAGUGGCGCACGGGUGCGUAACGCGUGGGGAUCUGCCCUUUGCUUCGGAAUAACAGUUAGAAAUGACUGCUAAUACCGGAUGAUGUCGAAAGACCAACGAUUUAUCGGCAAAGGAUGAACCCGCGUAGGAUUAGCUAGUUGGUGGGGUAAAGGCCUACCAAGGCGACGAUCCUUAGCUGGUCUGAGAGGAUGAUCAGCCACACUGGGACUGAGACACGGCCCAGACUCCUACGGGAGGCAGCAGUGGGGAAUAUUGGACAAUGGGCGAAAGCCUGAUCCAGCAAUGCCGCGUGAGUGAUGAAGGCCUUAGGGUUGUAAAGCUCUUUUACCAGGGAUGAUAAUGACAGUACCUGGAGAAUAAGCUCCGGCUAACUCCGUGCCAGCAGCCGCCGUAAUAC
rnacentral:rRNA from 1 species